GAUGAACGCUGGCGGCGUGCCUAAUACAUGCAAGUCGAGCGAACAGACGAGGAGCUUGCUCCUCUGACGUUAGCGGCGGACGGGUGAGUAACACGUGGAUAACCUACCUAUAAGACUGGGAUAACUUCGGGAAACCGGAGCUAAUACCGGAUAAUAUAUUGAACCGCAUGGUUCAAUAGUGAAAGACGGUUUUGCUGUCACUUAUAGAUGGAUCCGCGCCGCAUUAGCUAGUUGGUAAGGUAACGGCUUACCAAGGCGACGAUGCGUAGCCGACCUGAGAGGGUGAUCGGCCACACUGGAACUGAGACACGGUCCAGGCUCCUACGGGAGGCAGCAGUAGGGAAUCUUCCGCAAUGGGCGAAAGCCUGACGGAGCAACGCCGCGUGAGUGAUGAAGGUCUUCGGAUCGUAAAACUCUGUUAUUAGGGAAGAACAAAUGUGUAAGUAACUAUGCACGUCUUGACGGUACCUAAUCAGAAAGCCACGGCUAACUACGU
rnacentral:rRNA from 1 species